UCUCUCGUAGCUUAGUGGUCAAAGCAUUAGCGCGUAAAGCCAAAGAGCCCGGGUUCGACUCCCGGCGGGUGUG
rnacentral:tRNA from 1 species